GCGAAAGAGGGGACUGCUACACAUGCAGUCGAGCGGCAGCGGGAGUAGUCUACUACUUGCCGGCGAGCGGCGGACGGCUGAGUAACGCGUGGGAACAUGCCCCAAAGUGAGGAAUAACUGCCCGAAAGGGUAGCUAAUGCCGCAUAUGAUCUUCGGGUUAAAGGAUUUAUCCGCUUUGGGAGUGGCCCGCGUCCGAUUAGGUAGUUGGUGAGGUAAAGGCUCACGAAGCCCACGAUCGGUAACUGGUCUGAGAGGAUGAUCAGUCAGACUGGAACUGAGACACGGUCCAGACUCCCACGGGAGGCAGCAGUGAGGAAUCUUCCACAAUGGACGAAAGUCUGAUGGAGCAACUCCGCGUGCGGGAUGAAGGCCUUCGGGUCGUAAACUGCUUUUAUGAGUGAAGAAUAUGACGGUAACUCAUGAAUAAGGGUCGGCUAACUACGUGCCAGCAGCCGCGGUCAUACGUAGGACCCGAGCGUUAUCCGGAGUGACUGGGCGUAAAGGGUUGCGUAGGUGGUUUGUUAAGCGAAUAGUGAAAUCUGACGGCUCAACCGUACAGACUAUUAUUCGAACUGGCAAACUCGAGAAUGGUAGAGGUAACUGGAAUUUCUGAAGUAGGGGUAAUAUCCGUAGAUAUCAGAAGGAACACCAAUGGCGUAGGCAGGUUACUGGACCAUUCCUGACACUGAGGCACGAAAGCGUGGGGAGCGAACCGGAUUAGAUACCCGGGUAGUCCACGCCGUAAACGAUGGAUACUAGCUGUUGGAGGUAUCGACCCCUUCAGUAGCGAAGCUAACGCGUUAAGUAUCCCGCCUGUGGAGUACGGUCGCAAGACUAAAACAUAAGGGAAUUGACGGGGACCCGCACAAGCGGUGGAUUAUGUUCUCUAAUUCGACGAUAAACGAAGAGCCUUACCAGGGCUUGACAUCCUUGGAAUCACUACGAAGGUAGAGAGUGCUUUAUUGAGCCAAGUGACAGGUGUUGCAUGGCCGUCGUCAGCUCGUGUCGUGAGA
rnacentral:rRNA from 1 species